rnacentral:rRNA from 1 species
GUGCCAGCAGCCGCGGUAAUACGAAGGUGGCAAGCGUUGUUCGGAAUCACUGGGCUUAAAGGGCGCGUAGGCGGGCCAGUAAGUGUCUUGUGAAAUCCCCCAGCUUAACUGGGGAAUUGCUCGGCAAACUACUGGUCUUGAGGCAAGUAGGGGUGUGUGGAACUCUUGGUGGAGCGGUGGAAUGCGUAGAUAUCAAGAGGAACGCCGAAGGUGAAGACAGCACACUGGACUUGUACUGACGCUGAGGCGCGAAAGCGUGGGGAGCAAACAGGAUUAGAUACCCUAGUAGUCC